GAUGAACGCUGGCGGCGUGCCUAAUACAUGCAAGUCGAGCGAACAGACGAGGAGCUUGCUCCUCUGACGUUAGCGGCGGACGGGUGAGUAACACGUGGAUAACCUACCUAUAAGACUGGGAUAACUUCGGGAAACCGGAGCUAAUACCGGAUAAUAUAUUGAACCGCAUGGUUCAAUAGUGAAAGACGGUUUUGCUGUCACUUAUAGAUGGAUCCGCGCCGCAUUAGCUAGUUGGUAAGGUAACGGCUUACCAAGGCAACGAUGCGUAGCCGACCUGAGAGGGUGAUCGGCCACACUGGAACUGAGACACGGUCCAGACUCCUACGGGAGGCAGCAGUAGGGAAUCUUCCGCAAUGGGCGAAAGCCUGACGGAGCAACGCCGCGUGAGUGAUGAAGGUCUGCGGAUCGUAAAACUCUGUUAUUAGGGAAGAACAAAUGUGUAAGUAACUAUGCACGUCUUGACGGUACCUAAUCAGAAAGCCACGGCGAACUACGU
rnacentral:rRNA from 1 species